UGCGUAGGCGGGCUAAUAAGUCAGUGGUGAAAUCUUCCGGCUCAACCGGGAACCUGCCAUUGAUACUGUUAGUCUUGAGCUCGGCUGAGGUAGGCGGAAUGUGUAAUGUAGCGGUGAAAUGCUUAGAUAUUACACAGAACACCAAUUGCGUAGGCAGCUUACUAGACCGACACUGACGCUGAGGCACGAAAGCGUGGGGAGCGAACAGGAUUAGAUACCCUGGUAGUCC
rnacentral:rRNA from 1 species